UACGUAGGGGGCAAGCGUUGUCCGGAAUUAUUGGGCGUAAAGAGCUCGUAGGCGGUGUGUCGCGUCGGCCGUGAAAACCUGCAGCUUAACUGUGGGCUUGCGGUCGAUACGGGCAUCACUGGAGUUCGGCAGGGGAGACUGGAAUUCCAGGUGUAGCGGUGAAAUGCGUAGAUAUCUGGAGGAACACCGGUGGCGAAGGCGGCAUCCUGGACCGACACUGACGCUGAGGAGCGAAAGCCAGGGGAGCAAACGGG
rnacentral:rRNA from 1 species